rnacentral:rRNA from 1 species
UUUAGCGGCGGACGGGUGAGUAACACGUGGGCAACCUGCCCUGCAGAUCGGGAUAACUCCGGGAAACCGGUGCUAAUACCGAAUAGUUUGGGGCCUCUCCUGAGGCCCCACGGAAAGACGGCUUCUCGCUGUCACUGCAGGAUGGGCCCGCGGCGCAUUAGCUAGUUGGUGGGGUAAUGGCCCACCAAGGCGACGAUGCGUAGCCGACCUGAGAGGGUGAUCGGCCACACUGGGACUGAGACACGGCCCAGACUCCUACGGGAGGCAGCAGUAGGGAAUCUUCCGCAAUGGACGAAAGUCUGACGGAGCAACGCCGCGUGAGUGACGAAGGUUUUCGGAUCGUAAAACUCUGUUGUGAGGGAAGAACAAGUACCAACUAACUACUGGUACCUUGACGGUACCUCACCAGAAAGCCACGGCUAACUACGUGCCAGCAGCCGCGGUAAUACGUAGGUGGCAAGCGUUGUCCGGAAUUAUUGGGCGUAAAGCGCGCGCAGGCGGUCCCUUAAGUCUGAUGUGAAAGCCCACGGCUCA